UCUGUUCUCUUUCAGGUUGUUUGGUGUUUUAAUCCCCCAUUUCACCUUCCAGGCAGCGUUGCCUGGAAGACACUGGGAUUAGGCAAGGGUUAGGGUGAGGUGUCUAGUAGUCAACGGUUGCAGUGAUGCCUGGACAUUGCUGUUGGGGGCUUAA